CUGUACUAGUCAGUGGCUGCAAGUGUACUGUGUGACCGUCGCAUUCAAAAUGACUGACUGAGUAGAGCAACAAAUCUGCAUCAAAAAUUGCUUUAAGCUAAACAUUUCGGAAGAUUCAGAAGGCUUUCAGGGAUGAUGCAAGGAGUGGCACAAACGCUUCAUAGAUGGUCAAGAAUCUGUUGAAUAGCCUGGCUUUUCCCAAAACUAAAACCACCUAUGAAAGGGAAGAGCUUUCAGACCAUUGAUGAGAUUCAGGUAAAUACAACAAGGCAGCUGAUGGCAAUUCCAGCAAAGGAGUUUGUAGAGUGUUUUGAACAGUGGAAGAGACGCUGGGAGAACUGUGUGAGGUCCCAAGUUGCCUACUUUGAAGGAGACUGAGGAG